AGAGUUUGAUCAUGGCUCAGAUUGAACGCUGGCGGCAGGCCUAACACAUGCAAGUCGAGCGGUAGCACAGAGAGCUUGCUCUCGGGUGACGAGCGGCGGACGGGUGAGUAAUGUCUGGGAAACUGCCUGAUGGAGGGGGAUAACUACUGGAAACGGUAGCUAAUACCGCAUAAUGUCGCAAGACCAAAGUGGGGGACCUUCGGGCCUCAUGCCAUCAGAUGUGCCCAGAUGGGAUUAGCUAGUAGGUGGGGUAACGGCUCACCUAGGCGACGAUCCCUAGCUGGUCUGAGAGGAUGACCAGCCACACUGGAACUGAGACACGGUCCAGACUCCUACGGGAGGCAGCAGUGGGGAAUAUUGCACAAUGGGCGCAAGCCUGAUGCAGCCAUGCCGCGUGUGUGAAGAAGGCCUUCGGGUUGUAAAGCACUUUCAGCGGGGAGGAAGGCGGUGAGGUUAAUAACCUCAUCGAUUGACGUUACCCGCAGAAGAAGCACCGGCUAACUCCGUGCCAGCAGCCGCGGUAAUACGGAGGGUGCAAGCGUUAAUCGGAAUUACUGGGCGUAAAGCGCACGCAGGCGGUCUGUCAAGUCGGAUGUGAAAUCCCCGGGCUCAACCUGGGAACUGCAUUCGAAACUGGCAGGCUAGAGUCUUGUAGAGGGGGGUAGAAUUCCAGGUGUAGCGGUGAAAUGCGUAGAGAUCUGGAGGAAUACCGGUGGCGAAGGCGGCCCCCUGGACAAAGACUGACGCUCAGGUGCGAAAGCGUGGGGAGCAAACAGGAUUAGAUACCCUGGUAGUCCACGCCGUAAACGAUGUCGAUUUGGAGGUUGUGCCCUUGAGGCGUGGCUUCCGGAGCUAACGCGUUAAAUCGACCGCCUGGGGAGUACGGCCGCAAGGUUAAAACUCAAAUGAAUUGACGGGGGCCCGCACAAGCGGUGGAGCAUGUGGUUUAAUUCGAUGCAACGCGAAGAACCUUACCUGGUCUUGACAUCCACAGAACUUAGCAGAGAUGCUUUGGUGCCUUCGGGAACUGUGAGACAGGUGCUGCAUGGCUGUCGUCAGCUCGUGUUGUGAAAUGUUGGGUUAAGUCCCGCAACGAGCGCAACCCUUAUCCUUUGUUGCCAGCGGU
rnacentral:rRNA from 4 species